AGAGAGAGCUAGUUCUUGAAGGUUUUUGGGUGGGGUUCCUCUUGGUCCCUAUAUAAACACCACCACCACCAUCACCACCAUCACUUCUUCCUCCACCCGGCUGACACCACCACCACCACCACCACCACCAUGUUCAAGCUGGUCGUACUGGCGCUGGUGCUGACGUACACACAGGGAGCCACCGUGUACACCAUCCCCGGGGCUCCCCUGCACUACCCCCUGACCUACGGCGCGCCCUUGACCUACGCCCACACUCCUCUGGUCGCUCCCGCCCCCUACAGAAUUACCACGGGCGUGAAGACUGACGUGAAGGUGUUGCCGGUGGAGCAGCACGGCUAUGUUGUCAAGUACUAAGCUGUUUUUUGCGCAAGCUGUACUCUGAAAGCUGACUGGUGCCGCCCACGAGCCUAAUGGUGUCCUGCAAGACCCACACAGUGCACGCCGUAUUCUGAGAUGCUUCUGCCAGCACCGCCACUACCUUCAAAGGCUCCAGUUGAUGUGAGGCGGGUUCUUAAGGGGGUUUUCAAUGUUUCCAGUGACAGAUUAACGAGUUUUCUGCAUUAUUAACAGGAGAAACACUCUUGAGAGCCUCGCUGAACGUCUUUGAGGCCUUGGUAAAUAGUCGCGGUGGAAGAGCAAGGUAUUUUCAGAGUAUGGGACCAAGAACUACCAGACAACUGACGUGACGCAGCUAAUGCCACGCCACCCACGCCCUCACGGAGACCCAGAGACGCUGCACUGAUGAAGGGUCUGAACGGUCCUCAGAACACCACGCCAGCACUGAGGAUGGUGAGGAAAGGCCCUUGGCAAGACUGAGACCAAACAACGAUGAAACAAAGGCGCCCACGACAUCCCACGGGUUGGUGUCACGCCCACGCGCCGCCCACGGGAGUCUGCAGGUCACACACGCCACGCCACAUGCCCGCCCGCCGCCCUAGUGCCCCGCCCACGCCCCAGGGGUAGAGGGCGCGCCGGGUGAGGCUCCACGCCCACGCCGGGAUUACUGUCUGUCUAUCUGUCUGUCUUUCAUUCUUUUCCUAUCUUGUCUUCUUGAAAUAUAUAUUUAUAAGAAAAUGUA